rnacentral:rRNA from 1 species
GAAGGUGUGCUGUGAGGCAUGCUGGAGGUAUCAGAAGUGCGAAUGCUGACAUAAGUAACGAUAAAGCGGGUGAAAAGCCCGCUCGCCGGAAGACCAAGGGUUCCUGUCCAACGUUAAUCGGGGCAGGGUGAGUCGACCCCUAAGGCGAGGCCGAAAGGCGUAGUCGAUGGGAAACAGGUUAAUAUUCCUGUACUUGGUGUUACUGCGAAGGGGGGACGGAGAAGGCUAUGUCAGCCGGGCGACGGUUGUCCCGGUUUAAGCAUGUAGGCGGAGGUUCCAGGUAAAUCCGGUACCUUAUUAACGCUGAGGUGUGAUGACGAGGCACUACGGUGCUGAAGUGAUAAAUGCCCUGCUUCCAGGAAAAGCCUCUAAGCAUCAGGUAACACGAAAUCGUACCCCAAACCGACACAGGUGGUCAGGUAGAGAAUACCAAGGCGCUUGAGAGAACUCGGGUGAAGGAACUAGGCAAAAUGGUGCCGUAACUUCGGGAGAAGGCACGCUGAUAUGUAGGUGAAGCCCCUGCGGGCGGAGCUGAAAUCAGUCGAAGAUACCAGCUGGCUGCAACUGUUUAUUAAAAACACAGCACUGUGCAAACACGAAAGUGGACGUAUACGGUGUGACGCCUGCCCGGUGCCGGAAGGUUAAUUGAUGGGGUUAGCGGCAACGCGAAGCUCUUGAUCGAAGCCCCGGUAAACGGCGGCCGUAACUAUAACGGUCCUAAGGUAGCGAAAUUCCUUGUCGGGUAAGUUCCGACCUGCACGAAUGGCGUAAUGAUGGCCAGGCUGUCUCCACCCGAGACUCAGUGAAAUUGAACUCGCUGUGAAGAUGCAGUGUACCCGCGGCAAGACGGAAAGACCCCGUGAACCUUUACUAUAGCUUGACACUGAACACUGGUCCUUGAUGUGUAGGAUAGGUGGGAGGCUUUGAAGCGUGGACGCCAGUCUGCGUGGAGCCAACCUUGAAAUACCACCCUUUAAUGGCUGGUGUUCUAACGUGGACCCGUAAUCCGGGUUGCGGACAGUGUCUGGUGGGUAGUUUGACUGGGGCGGUCUCCUCCCAAAGAGUAACGGAGGAGCACGAAGGUUGGCUAAUCCUGGUCGGACAUCAGGAGGUUAGUGCAAUGGCAUAAGCCAGCUUGACUGCGAGCGUGACGGCGCGAGCAGGUGCGAAAGCAGGUCAUAGUGAUCCGGUGGUUCUGAAUGGAAGGGCCAUCGCUCAACGGAUAAAAGGUACUCCGGGGAUAACAGGCUGAUACCGCCCAAGAGUUCAUAUCGACGGCGGUGUUUGGCACCUCGAUGUCGGCUCAUCACAUCCUGGGGCUGAAGUAGGUCCCAAGGGUAUGGCUGUUCGCCAUUUAAAGUGGUACGCGAGCUGGGUUUAGAACGUCGUGAGACAGUUCGGUCCCUAUCUGCCGUGGGCGCUGGAGAAUUGAGGGGGGCUGCUCCUAGUACGAGAGGACCGGAGUGGACGCAUCACUGGUGUUCGGGUUGUCAUGCCAAUGGCACUGCCCGGUAGCUAAAUGCGGAAGAGAUAAGUGCUGAAAGCAUCUAAGCACGAAACUUGCCCCGAGAUGAGUUCUCCCUGAGACUUUAAGUCUCCUGAAGGAACGUUGAAGACGACGACGUUGAUAGGUCGGGUGUGUAAGCGCAGCGAUGCGUUGAGCUAACCGAUACUAAUGAACCGUGAGGCUUAACCUUACAACGCCGAAGGUGUUU